rnacentral:rRNA from 1 species
UACGUAGGGGGGCAAGCGUUGUCCGGAUUUAUUGGGCGUAAAGAGCGUGUAGGCGGCUUUACAGGUCCGUUGUGAAAACUCGAGGCUCACCUCGAGACGCCGGUGGAAACCGUAAAGCUAGAGUCCGGAAGAGGAGAGUGGAAUUCCUGGUGUAGCGGUGAAAUGCGCAGAUAUCAGGAGGAACACCCGUGGCGAAAGCGGCUCUCUGGGACGGUACUGACGCUGAGACGCGAAAGCGUGGGGGAGCAAACAGG